GCUCCAGCCAGGGCCUGAUCAGAGGAGACAGGAACAGAGGAGCCCUGAGCUGGAGCCACCCAACUGAACUCCUUCCAAAUCCUUGCUGCGUAGAUACUGUGGAGGAUGGCUGGGGAAUGGAAGCAUGACAGAUAUCCUGAAGUCACAGAGCUCUUAAAUGGAGGCUGGGC